CGCGUAGGCGGUUUUUUAAGUCAGAUGUGUAAUCCCCGAGCUUAACUUGGGAACUGCAUCUGAGACUGGAAGGCUAGAGUACUGGAAAGGGUGGUGGAAUUCCUCGUGUAGCGGUGAAAUGCGUAGAGAUGAGGAGGAACACCAGUGGCGAAGGCGGCCACCUGGACAGUAACUGACGCUGAGGCGCGAAAGUGUGGGUAGCAAACAGGAUUAGAUACCCUGGUAGUCCACGCUGUAAACGAUGAACACUUGGUGUGGAGGGAGUUGACCCCUUCCGUGCCGGAGCUAACGCGUUAAGUGUUCCGCCUGGGGAGUACGGUCGCAAGGCUGAA
rnacentral:rRNA from 1 species